GGUAGUCCAUGCCGUAAACGUUGGGCGCUAGAUGUAGGGACCUUUCCACGGUUUCUGUGUCGUAGCUAACGCAUUAAGCGCCCCGCCUGGGGAGUACGGCCGCAAGGCUAAAACUCAAAGGAAUUGACGGGGGCCCGCACAAGCGGCGGAGCAUGCGGAUUAAUUCGAUGCAACGCGAAGAACCUUACCAAGGCUUGACAUACACCGGAAACGGCCAGAGAUGGUCGCCCCCUUGUGGUCGGUGUACAGGUGGUGCAUGGUUGUCGUCAGCUCGUGUCGUGAGAUGUUGGGUUAAGUCCCGCAACGAGCGCAACCCUCGUUCCUAUGUUGCCAGCGGGUUAUGCCGGGGACUCAUAGGAGACUGCCGGGGUCAACUCGGAGGAAGGUGGGGAUGACGUCAAAUCAUCAUGCCCCUUAUGUCUUGGGCUUCACGCAUGCUACAAUGGCCGGUACAAAGGGCUGCGAUACCGUAAGGUGGAGCGAAUCCCAAAAAGCCGGUCUCAGUUCGGAUUGAGGUCUGCAACUCGACCUCAUGAAGUCGGAGUCGCUAGUAAUCGCAGAUCAGCAACGCUGCGGUGAAUACGUUCCCGGGCCUUGUACACACCGCCCGUCAACGUCAUGAAAGUCGGUAACACCCGAAGCCGGUGGCCUAACCCUUGUGGAAGGAGCCGUCAAAGGUGGGAUCG
rnacentral:misc_RNA from 1 species